AGUUGUAGUAUGUUGUUGUGUUUAAAACACUGAAAUGAAGCUGUAUUUAUAGUUGAAAAACUUGGCAUUACCGUUGCCUAAUUGCCAAUUAAGAGUUCUGAUUUUACUCACUGACAAUCGAUUGUCAAACCCCAACAAUCGAUUGUCUGCCAGUCAGAUCAAAAUUCAAUCCCAGAUUAUACUCUUGACAAUCGAUUACUUACAAUCCAUAAUCGAUUACUGGCAACGUUAAAAAAAAAUCCUUUCCAGAUUUUAC
rnacentral:lncRNA from 1 species